UUGCACUCUCUGGGAGCGAUUUGAUGGUUUCAUGCAGUAACGAUUAACACGUCUGCUUGCUUUUUCCUGCAGAAUUCAUCACUAAGCCGCCUCUCUACAGCAGAGGAGACAUGUGCCUUUCCUAGUCAUUUCAGCCAUGGAGUCGGAAACCUGAUCAGCCUGGAUUUAACUAAAUGCAACUUACAGAAGGACGAUGACGUUGUCGAACACCUCAAGCACUUGGAAGGCCGGCUGAAUAUCACUAAUAAAUGCCCACUUCUGGUGGACCUGUACUGUAAAGACACGAAUCUGAGAUCUGCUCCCAUCGCCUCACUAGAAGGUUUCGUUGAAAAACUGACCACCCUGCUGCAGAAGUACCAUGAGAAAUGCGACCUUUAAGGCAGACCAGAAUCCAGUAAUCCAUCAGAUUCAGAGUUUUGGGGAUCACUGCUAAUGUCUUGAAAAGUGGGCAUCGAUAUAUUUCUCAGAAUGUUGGGGAAGACACUUUCCAAUGUUUUGUACCUCCUGGCUACCUUCCUAAAAUUAUUCUUUCUGUGCAAAAAUCAAUCUUUCAUUGUCAAACAUGUUGUUAUUAUUAUUAUUUUUUUUUACAAUCAAUCCAGUUUCUAGCUUAUUUGGUCUAACGAUUCUGACUAAAACAAAGAAAGACGUAAUCUGCCUAAAGAAGUGAUGAAGGAAUAUCUCUGUAUUAGUUUGACUGCAUUCUGAAUGUUAUCAGUACUUUCUUACAAUUAACCAGGAGCUGUUGAUUCCAAAAAGUACAGUUUAUCAAACACUAUGCAAGUAUAAAACAGUACUUUCGUAAAA